GGGGAAUAUUGCACAAUGGGGGAAACCCUGAUGCAGCAACGCCGCGUGAGUGAUGACGGUCUUCGGAUUGUAAAGCUCUGUCUUCAGGGACGACAAUGACGGUACCUGAGGAGGAAGCCACGGCUAACUACGUGCCAGCAGCCGCGGUAAUACGUAGGUGGCAAGCGUUGUCCGGAUUUACUGGGCGUAAAGGGAGCGUAGGUGGAUAUUUAAGUGGGAUGUGAAAUACUCGGGCUUAACCUGGGUGCUGCAUUCCAAACUGGAUAUCUAGAGUGCAGGAGAGGAAAGCAGAAUUCCUAGUGUAGCGGUGAAAUGCGUAGAGAUUAGGAAGAAUACCAGUGGCGAAGGCGACUUUCUGGACUGUAACUGACACUGAGGCUCGAAAGCGUGGGGAGCAAAC
rnacentral:rRNA from 1 species